ACGGGUGCGUAACGCGUGGGAAUCUGCCCCUUGGUUCGGGAUAACAGUUGGAAACGACUGCUAAUACCGGAUGAUGACGUAAGUCCAAAGAUUUAUCGCCGAGGGAUGAGCCCGCGUAGGAUUAGGUAGUUGGUGUGGUAAAGGCGCACCAAGCCGACGAUCCUUAGCUGGUCUGAGAGGAUGAUCAGCCACACUGGGACUGAGACACGGCCCAGACUCCUACGGGAGGCAGCAGUGGGGAAUAUUGGACAAUGGGCGAAAGCCUGAUCCAGCAAUGCCGCGUGUGUGAUGAAGGCCUUAGGGUUGUAAAGCUCUUUUACCCGGGAUGAUAAUGACAGUACCGGGAGAAUAAGCUCCGGCUAACUCCGUGCCAGCAGCCGCGGUAAUACGGAGGGAGCUAGCGUUAUUCGGAAUUACUGGGCGUAAAGCGCACGUAGGCGGCUUUGUAAGUAAGAGGUGAAAGCCCAGAGCUCAACUCUGGAAUUGCCUUUUAGACUGCAUCGCUUGAAUCAUGGAGAGGUCAGUGGAAUUCCGAGUGUAGAGGUGAAAUUCGUAGA
rnacentral:rRNA from 1 species